AUGGUAACGUUUAACUUGGAACAGGUUACUUCUUAUUAACUUUAUGAGCAGGCAAGAAGAUCGAAAGGAUUAACUGUAGAGAUUCUUUCUCGAGGAUGGAUUCUUCUGCUUAUUUCAUUUUUUUUCUUACUACCCGUUUCAUCCAAAGGUAUCUCAUCACAUACAUGGUGAAGAGCUGAAGCCCAACGAAUGAAUUAUUCUCUAUCAUUGUUACUUCUCUCUAUUUCAUGCACUGUCCCAACACUUAGGACGGUGCAUGAAAUGCAGCUAUUGCAGCCAAAAGCCUUUUAUCUGGCAACCCACAAUGUGUUAUUUUUUCCUGGAAAUGGAUUCUUGACUGUUGUUUGUGGACAGUGUUUUCCAGUUUGCAAGAUAUUUCUACUGGUGUUUCAAUUAACUUGGGUCUAUCUCAGAUUCUUGACACUAGAUAAUCAACAGUCAAAGAUUCCGUUGACAAGUUUUUAUUUAGCAGUAUAUCAUUGUUCACUAGCUCCUUCCAGGAACAGCAUAAUGGACCAUGUACGUUAUUGACAUUAUUGAUUUAUUUGAGUGUUCGACCAACAGUAUAUGUGGGGGGGAGCUGCUGAAAAUAGACCAUUUCUCUGUGUUAUUCAUAAAAGUUCUCUCUGGACUUUCGGGUCGUUAUUUAAUGAUUUGUUCAGUUUUUUUCCUUCUCUGAAUUAACUGGUUAAUUAAUCCAUUUGUUGUGCUAUGUUUUUGGAGUUGCACCAUUAUAAUUUCAUGAUUUAAGUUGCUA
rnacentral:lncRNA from 1 species